GUUACUUGUGGACAAUUAAAUGUAAGUAGACGCUCUAAACUCUAAAGAGACCAAAAGGUGAAGUGUACUUAAUAUUUUCAAGAAUCGAAGACAAGAGCAUGUGAGUGUGGAUGAACUUCCCUAAGUUAAUCCCUAAAAGGCUUAAAACCCUUAAAACCCUCCCAAAGAUGACGACCACACUUCAAUCUUCUCAUUUAAUAUCAAAGAGACCAAAGCAUGUGAAUCUUCAUUUUUGUCGUCCUUUCUUGACCUUUCCUCAACUACUAACUAACUCUUCUUUUACUCCCUUUCUGCAUCCCUCUAUCAUCCUCUCCUUUCUUUCUUUUUUUGCAUGAUGGAUCAAUCACAAAAUAAUAAAAACUCGCUGAAAUAAUAUUGGAGUUAGUAGUUAUAUUGUUUAUUUCAAUUUUGUGCAAUAUUACCGGUCAUAAUAUAUAUAUAUAUAACCAAACAACCAACCUUCUGUACUGGAAUUGAAAAUCAUAUUUGUCUUUUCCUACUGACACAUGUAUGAAGUGAUCAACAAACACCCUGAAAACUGACUAAGAAAACUAAAAUCAUUCCUUCACUCACACUAAACAUAUAUAUAAGCAAAGUCUACAUAACACCUUUUUAAGCUUCCUUUUCUACCUUUGAGAACUCUAUUGCCAUGUUACUUCCCUGGAAAUCNNNN
rnacentral:lncRNA from 1 species